GGACACCACACGGUUAGCCCCCCUCACACAAACACCCCCCUCUCUGCUGCAAAAAAUGUUUCUCUCACUCUCCUAUUAAGAUGUAUGUUCACAUCUUCCUAAUCACUCUCUCCCUCUCCCUGUAGAGGUGUACUACUAUAUACUGUUACUCUCAGCUCAUCUUCCUAAUCACUCUCUCCCUCUCCCUGUAGAGGUGUACUACUGUAUACUGUUACUCUCAGCUCAUCUUCCUAAUCACACUCUCCCUCUCUCCCUGUAGGGGUGUACUACUGUAUACUGUUACUCUCAGCUCAUCUUCCUAAUCACUCUCUCCCUCUCCCUGUAGAGGUGUACUACUGUAUACUGUUACUCUCAGCUCAUCUUCCUAAUCACACUCUCCCUCUCUCCCUGUAGGGGUGUACUACUGUAUACUGUUACUCUCAGCUCAUCUCCCUAAUCACUCUCUCCCUGUAGAGGUGUACUACUGUAUACUGUUACUCUCAGCUCAUCUCCCUAAUCACUCUCUCCCUGUAGGGGUGUACUACUGUAUACUGUUACUCUCAGCUCAUCUCCCUAAUCACUCUCUCCCUGUAGGGGUGUACUACUGUAUACUGUUACUCUCAGCUCAUCUUCCUAAUCACUCUCUCCCUGUAGAGGUGUACUACUGUAUACUGUUACUCUCAGCUCAUCUUCCUAAUCACACUCUCCCUCUCCCUGUAGAGGUGUACUACUGUAUACUGUUACUCUCAGCUCAUCUUCCUAAUCACUCUCUCCCUCUCCCUGUAGGGGUGUACUACUGUAUACUGUUACUCUCAGCUCAUCUUCCUAAUCACACUCUCCCUCUCCCUGUAGGGGUGUACUACUGUAUACUGUUACUCUCAGCUCAUCUUCCUAAUCACUCUCUCCCUCUCCCUGUAGGGGUGUACUACUGUAUACUGUUACUCUCAGCUCAUCUUCCUAAUCACACUCUCCCUCUCCCUGUAGGGGUGUACUACUGUAUACUGUUACUCUCAGCUCAUCUUCCUAAUCACUCUCUCCCUCUCCCUGUAGAGGUGUACUACUGUAUACUGUUACUCUCAGCUCAUCUUCCUAAUCACUCUCUCCCUGUAGAGGUGUACUACUGUAUACUGUUACUCUCAGCUCAUCUUCCUAAUCACUCUCUCCCUCUCCCUGUAGGGGUGUACUACUGUAUACUGUUACUCUCAGCUCAUCUUCCUAAUCACACUCUCCCUCUCCCUGUAGAGGUGUACUACUGUAUACUGUUACUCUCAGCUCAUCUUCCUAAUCACUCUCUCCCUCUCCCUGUAGAGGUGUACUACUGU